rnacentral:rRNA from 1 species
AGUGAACGCUGGCGGUAGGCCUAACACAUGCAAGUCGAACGGCAGCACAGUAAGAGCUUGCUCUUACGGGUGGCGAGUGGCGGACGGGUGAGGAAUACAUCGGAAUCUACUUUUUCGUGGGGGAUAACGUAGGGAAACUUACGCUAAUACCGCAUACGACCUACGGGUGAAAGCAGGGGAUCUUCGGACCUUGCGCGAUUGAAUGAGCCGAUGUCGGAUUAGCUAGUUGGCGGGGUAAAGGCCCACCAAGGCGACGAUCCGUAGCUGGUCUGAGAGGAUGAUCAGCCACACUGGGACUGAGACACGGUCCAGACUCCUACGGGAGGCAGCAGUGGGGUAUAUUGGACAAUGGGCGCAAGCCUGAUCCAGCCAUACCGCGUGGGUGAAGAAGGCCUUCGGGUUGUAAAGCCCUUUUGUUGGGAAAGAAAAGCAGCAGGUUAAUACCCCGCUGUUCUGACGGUACCCAAAGAAUAAGCACCGGCUAACUUCGUG